rnacentral:rRNA from 1 species
AGUGAACGCUGGCGGUGUGCUUAACACAUGCAAGUCGAACGGCAGCACAGUACGUUCUUGCUCUUACGGGUUGCGAGUGGCGGACGUGUGAGGAAUACAUCGUAAUCUACUUUUUCGUGGGGGUUAACGUAGGUAAACUUACUCUAAUACCGCAUACGACCUACGGGUGAAAGCAGGGGAUCUUCGGACCUGGCGCGAUUGGAUGAGCCGAUGUCGGAUUAGCUAGUUGGCGGGGUAAAGGCCAAGCAAGGCGACGAUCCGUAGCUGGUCUGAGAGGAUGGUAAGCGACCCUGGAACUGGGACGGGGUCCAGAGGACUACGGGAGGCCGCAGUCGGGAAUAGUGGACAAUGGGCGCAAGCAUGAUCCAGCCAUACCGCGUGGGUGAAGAAGGCCUUCGGGUUGUAAAGCCCUUUUUUUGGGAAAGAACAGCAGCCGCUUAAUACCAAGCUGUACUGACGGUAAUCAAAGAAGAAGCACCGGCUAACUUCGUG